GGACUGAGAGCAGUGCCAGUCCUUCAAGGCAGCAAAGGGCAAGAAGGCAAUGAUGUUGGGCGUCCACAGUGGGACUGAGAAGAUAGAGGCCCCAGUGCUUCUUCUGGCUGCAGUAGGACAGGCAGCGACCCUGGGAACAGCAGAAAGAUGCCUCCGUGGGUACCACCUCUCCUUGCUGUGGCAUACUAUGGAUCAGUCUCCUUCAAAACUGCUGCUUCUCUUUCAAGGAAAAUCAGGGCCAUGGCAUGCUGCUGACCCAAUAGCCCUGGAAGGAGAAAGAGAGACAGAGGAAGUGCCAACACAGAGGUAACCAUGAAAAUUCUAGAGGUGAGCAGCCCUGGGCAACGGCCCUGCAAAGACACCCCCUGGCCCCACAUGUCCACCACUCCAUCACGUGCUCUCCAUCCACUCACUUUGUCUCCUUUGCCAGCAGUUUGGGACUUCCGCACGUCUUCACAGCACUUGAGGAUGCACUCCUCAGUGCCCAGGAAAAUGGAUAAGAACUGUGAAAUACUCGACCAGUUCAACAGACGUCUUCAGGCCUUGACCAGAUGCAUGGCGAUGCUCACCUUGGAACUGCCUGAGGGCAGCGAUGAUUCCACCAGCUCGGUCACAGUGAGUGAAAACCGCUGCUCUUUGAGGACAUCGCUGUAUCCGUUGAGCGCCAGUUGUGGGGAAAUGGAGGCACCUUACCGACACCCAAAAGCCCGAGAGAACUUGGAAAGCUCCAUCCCAGAAAGGAAAGCGGAGCAGGGACUGGGCCUCAGUGAUCAGAGAAAGCCUGAUGUGAUGGUGGCUCCCACGGUGCAGGACCUGCCCUUAGAGGAUGAGGCUAUGCAAAGUCAUUUGGAGCAUCCUAACAUAAAAAUGCAGGCACCACAGUUCCUGAAGAGGAGUUUCUCAGAGCCUGUCCUGGGUCAGAGAGACUCCCAGCUUCCCCAUCCUCUGAGGCACUCAAGGAGGCCCACUUACUCGCUCAUCCAGCGUGGGCAUGGGCAAGCUCUGGCAAGGAGGUCAGCAGCAUGGGCCCUUGUCCCACGGCGAAAAUCUGCCCCCGAGACAGAUACGUGCAGACAAGAAACAAGGAUUCCAGUCCACAUUGCCUGCUGCAGAAUCUAUGAAGGCCCUGAUGACCAUCAGAUCAAGAUGAUGCAUCUGUGGCUGGAGCAAUAUGAAUAUGUUGAGAGGCGAAAGUUGGAAUUUUAUAGAGACUACUACACCCAGCCUAACAACGAAGGAUCCCAGGGCGUGGCUCCAUCUGACACUGCAGCCCCGGUUGUUGCAGGAGGAGCAACAGUUCGAGAGAGGAAUUCACCCGAGGUCAAGGCCAGUGAGCAACAGGACAAGAAAAAUACCACUGCUGCCCAGCAGCCAGAGGGGCUCCCUGAACGUACCCUCGUGGAGAGUUCUUCGGUUCUGCCAUGGAGGCGUCUGCCACAGGGUAGACCAUUCAGACCCCAAGCAGCACACGCAGAGAUGACGCCCAGGCAAGAAGCAGCAGAACACACGACUCCUAGACCAGAGACACCACCUGUGCUGUGCAGAAACUGCUGUGCACCAGCCCUCCUGUGCCAUUUCAUUCAGAAUGCCGGGGCCAAGCUCCGAGCUGCCUGCAUGGCCCUCUAUUCCCUGAUCAGAAAGGCAACUAAGAAGCUCUCAAAGAAGGGAAGAGAGCCCAUCAUGAAAAACAGAUCCUUAGAGCAGGCCAGGCUGGACACAGAUCAACGUAGGAGUAGACGAUCACUGAGUCUACUGGCCAAAAAGAAAAACCCACGUACACCUCAGGAGGCAAUGAGGAAGGACACGGUGGCAUCUCAAGAUAAGACUUUCAGCGAUGCCAGUGAGGCCAGAGGUGCCAAAAAAGCAUUGAGCCAGGGUGGUAGCAGCCACAGGCACCUGGACGUGCUGGCUCCUGUUGCCCGUAGAGAGCCAGCCAACGUGCUGCUACCUCGGAGAAGGCUGCUCUUGGAGACUGAAGCUCCUGCCCCAUCUCAGUCUGUUCUAGCAGAUGUCCAGGCAGGCACAGCUGCAGUGAGUAGUGGAUUACUGCCAGAUGCUACCAGGGGGCAGAAGCAGAAGGGCAAGGGACACACCCAGGACAAGUCAGCUCCUCCAACAAGAAAGUCCCCAAAGAAAAAGCAGUCCUCCAGUGAGCAGAGACCCUCAGGUCUGCCACAGCCUCCAAAUCCCACUGGGACCAACGUUCCAGCCCUCUUCGUGCAGCAGCAGAGACCCUCAGGUCUGCCACAGCCUCCAAAUCCCACUGGGACCAACGUUCCAGUCUUCAUGCUGGAGCAGAGACCCUCAGGUCUGCCACAGCUUCCAAAUCUCGCUGGGACCGACAUUCCAAUCUCCCUCCUGCAGGAGCUUUUCACAGCACUUAGAGAUUUGAAGAAAGCCAGACAAACUGCUGAUGAGCUGCAGAAGCAGGUGCUGGCUUCCUUCUCAAAUCAGCCCACAAACAAUGCCAAGUAACCGAGGACAGAUACGGCAGCAGAGGAACCUGGGGCGAGGACACAGAGUGGAAGAGAAGGGCGAGGGAUGCACCCAGAACAGAUCUGACUAUGGGUCACUCUGCCCUACAUGCACCAAAGCUCCAUGCUGCUGCCAGCCAGGAGGUGUAAGCUCCCAGCGAUUGGCUGCACCUGCAACUGCAGCCCCAGGUGCAGGAAGAGAAGUGACUGUGAGAGAAGAAUCCCUCCAUGAGGACAGGGACAAGAGGCAGCAGACCUGAAAAAUGCUCCUGCCGAUCAGCAGCCAGAGGGGCUCCUUUGGCUAAGGACAUCAACCCCUGUAAUUGCAGGAGGGAGCCCACCAGGACACACAGUCAGUGAGCAGCAGAUCUCUGUCAUGCCCUUCCAGGGUGCAGGAGCUCUCCCUCUUAAGUGACGUCACGGGUGGUUAUCCCCUCUUUCCUGUGUAAGAGCAGCAGCUGCAGCUCCUCUGCUCACUACUCAGCCAUCCUUGCAUCCUUGCGUGGACAGCUCUGUUGCCAUCUUCUACGGAGAGGACAGAGUGGCUGUCCUGGUCCCUGAGGGCAGGGACCCGGGCCUGGCAUUCCCCGAUGCUUUCAGCAUGGACUGAGAGCAGUGCCAGUCCUUCAAGGCAGCAAAGGGCAAGAAGGCAAUGAUGUUGGGCGUCCACAGUGGGACUGAGAAGAUAGAGGCCCCAGUGCUUCUUCUGGCUGCAGUAGGACAGGCAGCGACCCUGGGAACAGCAGAAAGAUGCCUCCGUGGGUACCACCUCUCCUUGCUGUGGCAUACUAUGGAUCAGUCUCCUUCAAAACCGCUGCUUCUCUUUCAAGGAAAAUCAGGGCCAUGGCAUGCUGCUGACCCAAUAGCCCUGGAAGGAGAAAGAGAGACAGAGGAAGUGCCAACACAGAGGUAACCAUGAAAAUUCUAGAGGUGAGCAGCCCUGGGCAACGGCCCUGCAAAGACACCCCCUGGCCCCACAUGUCCACCACUCCAUCACGUGCUCUCCAUCCACUCACUUUGUCUCCUUUGCCAGCAGUUUGGGACUUCCGCACGUCUUCACAGCACUUGAGGAUGCACUCCUCAGUGCCCAGGAAAAUGGAUAAGAACUGUGAAAUACUCGACCAGUUCAACAGACGUCUUCAGGCCUUGACCAGAUGCAUGGCGAUGCUCACCUUGGAACUGCCUGAGGGCAGCGAUGAUUCCACCAGCUCGGUCACAGUGAGUGAAAACCGCUGCUCUUUGAGGACAUCGCUGUAUCCGUUGAGCACCAGUUGUGGGGAAAUGGAGGCACCUUACCGACACCCAAAAGCCCAGGAGAACUUGGAAAGCUCCAUCCCAGAAAGGAAAGCGGAGCAGGGACUGGGCCUCAGUGAUCAGAGAAAGCCUGAUGUGAUGGUGGCUCCCACGGUGCAGGACCUGCCCUUAGAGGAUGAGGCUAUGCAAAGUCAUUCGGAGCAUCCUAACAUAAAAAUGCAGGCACCACAGUUCCUGAAGAGGAGUUUCUCAGAGCCUGUCCUGGGUCAGAGAGACUCCCAGCUUCCCCAUCCUCUGAGGCACUCAAGGAGGCCCACUUACUCGCUCAUCCAGCGUGGGCAUGGGCAAGCUCUGGCAAGGAGGUCAGCAGCAUGGGCCCUUGUCCCACGGCGAAAAUCUGCCCCCGAGACAGAUACGUGCAGACAAGAAACAAGGAUUCCAGUCCACAUUGCCUGCUGCAGAAUCUAUGAAGGCCCUGAUGACCAUCAGAUCAAGAUGAUGCAUCUGUGGCUGGAGCAAUAUGAAUAUGUUGAGAGGCGAAAGUUGGAAUUUUAUAGAGACUACUACACCCAGCCUAACAACGAAGGAUCCCAGGGCGUGGCUCCAUCUGACACUGCAGCCCCGGUUGUUGCAGGAGGAGCAACAGUUCGAGAGAGGAAUUCACCCGAGGUCAAGGCCAGUGAGCAACAGGACAAGAAAAAUACCACUGCUGCCCAGCAGCCAGAGGGGCUCCCUGAACGUACCCUCGUGGAGAGUUCUUCGGUUCUGCCAUGGAGGCGUCUGCCACAGGGUAGACCAUUCAGACCCCAAGCAGCACACGCAGAGAUGACGCCCAGGCAAGAAGCAGCAGAACACACGACUCCUAGACCAGAGACACCACCUGUGCUGUGCAGAAACUGCUGUGCACCAGCCCUCCUGUGCCAUUUCAUUCAGAAUGCCGGGGCCAAGCUCCGAGCUGCCUGCAUGGCCCUCUAUUCCCUGAUCAGAAAGGCAACUAAGAAGCUCUCAAAGAAGGGAAGAGAGCCCAUCAUGAAAAACAGAUCCUUAGAGCAGGCCAGGCUGGACACAGAUCAACGUAGGAGUAGACGAUCACUGAGUCUACUGGCCAAAAAGAAAAACCCACGUACACCUCAGGAGGCAAUGAGGAAGGACAUGGUGGCAUCUCAAGAUAAGACUUUCAGCGAU